rnacentral:rRNA from 1 species
CGGAGGGUGCAAGCGUUAUCCGGAUUCACUGGGUUUAAAGGGUGUGUAGGCGGGUAUUUAAGUCAGUGGUGAAAUCCUACAGCUUAACUGUAGAACUGCCAUUGAUACUAUUUAUCUUGAAUAUUGUUGAGGUAGGCGGAAUACAUCAUGUAGCGGUGAAAUGCUUAGAUAUGAUGUAGAACACCGAUUGCGAAGGCAGCUUACUAAGCAAAUAUUGACGCUGAGGCACGAAAGCGUGGGGAUCAAACAGGAUUGGAUACCCUGGUAGUCCACGCCCUAAACGAUGAUUACUCGACGUGCGCGAUAUACAGUGCGCGUCUGAGCGAAAGCAUUAAGUAAUCCACCUGGGAAGUACGUCCGCAAGGAUG